UCCGAAGGGGGCUAUCGUUGUUCGGAAUUACUGGGCGUAAAGCGCGUGUAGGCGGGCCGUUAAGUUGGGGGUGAAAGCCCAGAGCUCAACUCUGGAAUUGCCUUCGAUACUGGCGGCCUGGAGCAUGAUAGAGGCGAGUGGAAUUGCGAGUGUAGAGGUGAAAUUCGUAGAUAUUCGCAGGAACACCAGUGGCGAAGGCGACUCGCUGGAUCAUUGCUGACGCUGAGACGCGAAAGCGUGGGGAGCAAACAGG
rnacentral:rRNA from 1 species